GUGUGUCGCCGCUUAGGUGACGCUGGGAAGUGCUUGCAGCCCCCGCCGCUGCCUUUUGGUUGAAGCACUAUGGAGGGAGAGAGGAAGAACAACAAACGGUGGUAUUUUACUCGAGAACAGCUGGAAAAUAGCCCGUCGCGUCGUUUCGGCGUGGACUCAGAUAAAGAACUAUCUUAUCGCCAGCAGGCGGCCAAUCUACUCCAGGACAUGGGACAACGUCUUAACGUCUCACAACUGACUAUCAACACUGCUAUAGUAUACAUGCACCGGUUCUAUAUGAUUCAAUCUUUUACACAGUUUCAUCGCUAUUCUAUGGCUCCAGCAGCCUUGUUUCUAGCAGCAAAAGUGGAAGAACAGCCAAAAAAACUGGAACAUGUCAUCAAGGUAGCACAUACUUGCCUCCAUCCACAGGAGUCACUUCCUGACACGAGGAGCGAGGCAUACCUACAACAAGUUCAAGAUCUGGUGAUUUUAGAGAGCAUAAUUUUGCAGACCCUCGGGUUUGAACUAACAAUUGAUCACCCACAUACACAUGUGGUAAAGUGCACCCAGCUUGUGCGGGCAAGCAAGGACUUAGCACAGACAUCUUACUUCAUGGCAACCAACAGCCUGCAUUUGACCACAUUUAGCCUGCAGUACACACCUCCUGUGGUGGCCUGUGUCUGCAUCCAUCUGGCUUGCAAGUGGUCCAACUGGGAGAUCCCAGUCUCAACUGACGGGAAGCACUGGUGGGAGUAUGUUGACGCCACUGUGACGUUGGAACUUUUAGAUGAAUUGACACAUGAAUUUCUGCAGAUUCUGGAGAAAACUCCAAGCAGGCUGAAACGCAUUAGAAAUUGGAGGGCAUACCAGGCUGCCAUGAAAACUAAACCAGAUGACCGAGGAGCAGAUGAAAACACAUCAGAGCAGACAAUCCUCAAUAUGAUUUCUCAGACCUCUUCAGACACAACUAUUGCAGGAUUAAUGAGCAUGUCAACUACUUCUACUACAAGUGCAGUGCCUUCCCUUCCUGUCUCUGAAGAGUCAUCAAGCAGUCUAACUAAUGUGGAUAUGUUGCAAGGCGAGCGAUGGCUGUCUUCCCAACCUCCUUUUAAACUAGAAUCUUCUCAGGGUCAUCGGACUAGUGAGAAUUUAGCACUUAUUGGAGUUGAUCAUUCCUUACAACAUGAUAGUUCGAAUGCAUUUGUUUCCCAGAAGCAGACGAGUAAGAGCGUGCCGUCAGCUAAAGUUUCACUUAAAGAGUACCGUGCAAAGCACGCUGAGGAGCUGGCUGCUCAGAAGAGGCAGCUGGAGAAUAUGGAGGCCAAUGUGAAGUCACAGUAUGCAUAUGCCGCUCAGAACCUCCUGUCCCACCAUGACAGCCAUUCUUCAGUCAUUCUGAAGAUGCCCAUUGAGGGCUCAGAAAAUCCUGAACGACCUUUUUUGGAAAAGGCUGACAAGUCAGCUCUGAAAAUGAGACUCCCGGUGGCCAGUGGAGAUAAAGCAUCCUCCUCAAAACCAGAGGAGAUGAAAAUGCGCAUUAAAGUCCACUCUGCAGCUGAGAAGCACAAUUCUGCAGAGGAUAGCAUCUCCAAGAGCCGGGAGCACAAAGAAAAGCACAAGCCUCAUCCGUCCAACCACCAUCACCAUCAUAAUCACCAUUCACACAAGCACUCUCACUUACAGCUGCCUGUCGGUACUAUGAACAAACGGCCAGGUGACCCAAAACACAGCAGCCAGUCCAGCACCUUAGCGCACAAACCGUAUAGUUUGUCUAGUACUUUGUCCUCUUCGAGCUCUACUCGUAAGAGGGGUCCCCUGGAAGAGACGGGGGCAGCAGUGUUUGAUCAUCCAGCCAAGAUUGCCAAGAGUACUAAAUCCUCUUCCUUGAAUUUCCCCUUCCCUCGUCUUCCUACAAUGACCCAGUUGCCUGGGCAUAGCUCAGACACAAGUGGCCUCCCCUUUUCACAGCCUAGCUGUAAAACUCGAGUUCCUCAUAUGAAACUGGAUAAAGGCCCUCCUGGGGCUAAUGGUCACAACACAACUCAGUCAAUAGAUUAUCAAGAUACUGUGAAUAUGCUCCACUCCCUGCUCAGUGCCCAGGGUGUUCAGCCCACUCAGCCCCCUGCAUUUGAAUUUGUUCAUUCUUAUGGUGAAUAUAUGAAUCCACGAGCUGGUGGAAUCUCCAGAUCUGGCAAUACAGACAAACCUCGACCACCACCCCUACCAUCAGAACCACCUCCACCACUUCCACCUCUUCCUAAAUGAAAAAAAAUGAGGCGAGAACUUAAAAAACAAAAACACUUUGUUUUUGGGGGAUUUUUGGUUUGUUUUUGUUUUGACUACUGAUACUGGACUACGAAAAUUACAUCCCUUAUGAAAUAUGUCACCAUUGGACUAAGGAAUAAAUUGAUAUUGAGACAGGUGGGAGGGUGGUGGAGGCCUCAGUUAUUACAUCUGCCUCAUACAUCUAUCUUAUAGUCUGUACUGGUAUCAGAGGUAAGAUUGUGUUGAAGCUGUGAAGGAUUAAGAACACUGUUCUUGGCCUCUCCUCAUCCUUAUGGGGUUGAUUGAAGUACUCUUCCCCUCUUGCUGGAACUGAAUCGUGGGGGUGAUCAAGCAGUUUGUUUAACAUAUCAGAAGAGGGAGUAUUUAAACGUCAGAUCUUUAAGAGACUUAAAAAUAAUUUAAAGAAAAUGGACGAUUGAGGAAGACGCUUAGAGAGCAAGGCCGGCUUCUGCCCUACAGAGUUGGGCCUUUUCAGGUUGGGCUUUGGGAAAGUUUGGGUCUCUGAGGGAAGAAGGGUGUGCUUGCAUGUCCUGUCUGUCGGAGACUAGACCAUGUGUGGUAAUCGGUUUGGGAGAAGCCAUGCAGUUAAUGAUACUAAAGACAAUGAAAUUGUGAUUUGGGAUUCUGAAGAAUUUGCAUUUUAAGAUACAUUAUGAAUGUAAUUCUUGCUUCUUUAUCUGUCAAACGGAAAACAACUGCACACUUGUGUUUGCAGCCUGUGUGACUUCAGAGCACUGGUGUGAUGAGUGAGAAAACCUAGCCAACAGACACAGUUGGGUUUCAAUUGUUUCUUUCAGUGGUUUUUGAUUCUAGACAGAGUCCUGUUUUUAAAAAGUGGAUCAGGAAUCCUGUUAUGGGGCUUAUUUUUGAUGAAGGAGAUCUUUGAAGAGAUAAUGGCUAGAAAAAAAUUCUAAGUCAAGCUCUCUAACUGAAAAUGCUACCAAGCUGCAGAUCAUUGCUAUUCUUUGGUUCACUGCAUGAAAAAAAAUAUGUAUGCACACGCAUGUAAAUGUGUGUGUAGUUUUUUUUUUUUUUGCUAUGGAAAAGAUGGUGCUAUGAAAAUAAUUUGUCUUUUUUUUUUCUUUUUUAAUUAGUGAAGCUUCUGUCAUGCCAAGUAGUCUUUAUGGAGAGUUCAGAUUCUUUUUGCUGAAAGUCAUAGGGAAACAGAAGUUGUACGGGUGCUGCUUGCCAAGAACAGCCUAGGAAAACACUGCGGCAGUUACUAUUGAGGUAAUGGCCCAGUAGAGAAGAAUGUACAGGAGGAAUAUAUCUUAGGGUGACUUCGUGGUUUAUAAUCUGCAUGUUUGAACAGUCCUGGAGUGCCUGCCAGUGCUGUGCAAAACAAGGAACUCCUAGCUAAUCUGUAAGCCAGUGAUAUUUCUUGGUAUGCAACUUUUAAAGUGACAUUUUCUUUCUUGGUAUUUCCUGUGUUGUGCAAGAAAUAUGUGUCAUCAUGAUUACUAAGUUUAGGUUUGGUAUUCGUUUAGAUUUUGUUUUCCAUCCUGACCUUCCCAAAAGGGAAUGUGCCAUUUUAGAGUACAUCUGUAUUUAUGGGAUUGACCAUAAUUGACUUGGGAAAAUGUUCUUUUAAUUACUCUCACUAAUGUCACGUGUUUCUAAUCACAUGCACUCCCUUACCACAAAGGCUGUUGUAUUUGCUGUUACAGCAGUUCUUCAUGCCAGUGCUGUAGUUAAUUUCUUAGAACUGUCAGUAGUGAGCUAGAAAGUGCUUACUAGAGUCUAAAAGAGUGACCAUGUUGUAGUCUGGUCCUACUGUAGAUCAGCACUGAAUUUGGUUAGUUUAUGGACUUUUCCUAUAUUAGUUUCUCCUGGUAUUGUCUACAGAUAUCUACAGUAUCUGCUUUUAGAUCUGUGCAUAGGUCCUGAACCUCCUCAUGGGCUCUGCAUGAACUGCUGCAUUAUUUUUGGGUUAGCAGAUAUACCUUCUAGCUAGCAUGCAUAUUGUCCUGUUUCUGUAUAAAUAAGGCUUCUAAACUGUGUGUGUCUCUCCCACCUUCAGACCUUCAAAGGUCGAGAAGUAGUAUUUGUAUAUCUAAAGUCAGCCUUGUAAACAUGGCUUUUUUCUUUUGAUCUAAACUGUCAAGAAGAAGUGACAGUGGUAAGCAGGCUUGGAGCCUCAACUUCUGUAAAUCUCAUUCCUAAAAUUUUGCUUGACUCUUACGUUGGCAUAAAUAAAUACCUGUGGAUUGUUGUUAGGGCUUUUUAAAUCAUACCUGUGUUGUUGGCUAAACUCUGAAUCAUUAACCUAAAGCCAGUGUGGUGUUCUGAAGUAUUCAGUUAAGCCUUUUGGGUUUAGAAAAUACCUAAAUAGUAGCCUACUUUUCUCAUUCAUGAAUCAUUGUGGUUUUUGUAUCUGACACUCUCAGUAUCCUUUCCUUGUAAAUGAUUUUAGUGUUUUGGUUUAGUGUAUCCCACAUAUUUCUAUAUUGUUAGUUUCACCGGCAGUGAUAGAAAAAUCGAAAUCUCCAAUUGCAAACAGCAGUAGAUUUGAGUAUUGAAACAAAAUCAUGGUAACAUCACUGCUGGGUUUCCUGAAGCCUUUGCAACCUAAUUCCUCAUUACCUCUCACACCUUGCUUCUAGAAAAAGGCAAUUGGAGGGGUCCUAUCUAUCCUAGUAUGGUUGGAAUCUAAAUAUAUGCGUUUCCAUUAUUUUGGGAACUGAUUAUUUUUUUAAAGAUGUUUUUUCUUUUGUUGAUGAGUUAUUUUGAUACUCAUGCUAGGAAAUGAGAAACUAAGACAUCUUGAUUGGAAUGCCUAUAUUAUUCUCCUGGGUUUGGGAGAAUUUUAAGCAGUCUAUGCAACCCAUCAGUUAGUGAGAAAUAGCUUUCCAGCAUCCCCCACUGAGCUUUCAACGAUUCAUACCUCCCCAAAUGUCUUGAUGUUGACUGAAUUUUGGAUCUUGAUGGUUUAGAAAGCAUUCUUGUUACACCAAGCUGUUGUUUAUUUCUUAUUCCUCAGUGGAUGGAAGUUUGAAAGAAGAAUGGUACUGUAAUUUUACUUGAUGGAGUGGUCUAAAUUCAGAGUUGUUUUCUAAGUGGGUGAGCUCUCCAUGUUAAUAUUUUUAAAGUUUUUAAUAUGAACUUGGCAAUGGAAAAAAGAGGGAAAAGAAUGUUUAAUAAAAAUCAGUGUCUGCUCUUUCCCUUUUUGAGUGCGUAUUGCUGCUUGUAUGAAGAAACUCAUAGGUUUUGUGUUGCCGUUCUAACUGUGGAGAGGGAUGCUUGACAGCAUGUUAAUUGAAGCCAGAGCAAGUAUGUCUCCCAUCAGGUGGUCUGGAAAUGCCAGUGGAAGCAGAGGAGCUGAAGACCAUAAUGAAACACUUAGAAAGUAGAAGUGCUUUCUGGCCUAAGAACUCGAAACUGUAAGGUGUAACUUAGGGUUCUAAACUUGAAACUGAUAUAUAUUACCUUACUUUCCACACAUUUUCUAUCAAAAACUGUCCAUUUUCUUAUCAGACCAAAGAACAAAAAAAAAAAAAGAAAAGAAAAAAUGAAAAGCAAAGUAACAUUUUACCAGUUUAUGUCACUCAGGUACAAUUUUGUGGUGAGCUUUUUUUGUUGUUUUGUUUUUUGUCUUAUUUUGUACUGCUCAGCAUAUUAUUCUGCUGUUGCCUCUGUCCUCCGUGGGGCACCUCAGUUUUGGGUGCUACUCCUGGGAUCUCUACUGCUGUUAGGUGAAUGAUGAUAGGAUGUAAGUGACCAUUAUCAUAAGGGCUCUUUGUAAAAAACUUUAAAAACUCAAAAAAAAAUUUAAAGAAGGAUAUUGUAUACACAUUUUAUAGUCUGGCUAUCAGUUUGAUAUCUUGCUGUCAAGUAUGUUUCUCAAUCUGUAUUUAUCCAUCCCAUCAAUAAACGUUAAUGAUGAAACA